rnacentral:tRNA from 1 species
AGAGGUGUGGCUCAACUGGUAAAGCAUCUGCCUAGAAAGCCCAAGGCCCAGGGUUCAAAUCCCAGUACUGUUC